rnacentral:rRNA from 7 species
AAACUUUCAACAACGGAUCUCUUGGUUCUGGCAUCGAUGAAGAACGCAGCGAAAUGCGAUAAGUAAUGUGAAUUGCAGAAUUCAGUGAAUCAUCGAAUCUUUGAACGCACAUUGCGCCCAUUAGUAUUCU